AGAGUUUGAUCCUGGCUCAGGAUGAACGCUGGCGGUAUGCUUAACACAUGCAAGUCGAACGAAAGCUUUAUGCUUUAGUGGCGAACGGGUGCGUAAUACGUGAGAAUCUGCCCUUAGGAGGAGAAUAACUUCUGGAAACGGUUGCUAAGUCUCCAUAUGCCGAGAGGUAAAAUAGUUUACACUGCCUAGGGAUGAGCUCACGCCUGAUUAGCUUGUUGGUAAGGUAAUGGCUUACCAAGGCCACGAUCAGUAGCUGGUUUGAGAGAACGAUCAGCCACACUGGGACUGAGACACGGCCCAGACUCCUCCGGGAGGCAGCAGUGAGGAAUUUUCCGCAAUGGGCGAAAGCCUGACGGAGCAAUACCGCGUGAGGGAUGAAGGAUUUUGGUCUGUAAACCUCUUUUCUCAAGAAAGAAGUUCUGACGGUACUUGAGGAAUAAGCAUCGGCUAACUCCGUGCCAGCAGCCGCGGUAAUACGGGGGAUGCAAGCGUUAUCCGGAUUUAUUGGGCGUAAAGCGCCUGUAGGUUGUUUAAUAAGUCUGUUGUUAAAGACUAGGGCUUAACCCUAGGAAAGCAAUGGAAACUACUAGACUUGAGUAUGAUAGGGGUAGAGGGAAUUUCUAGUGUAGCGGUGAAAUGCGUAGAUAUUAGAAAGAACACCGGUGGCGAAGGCGCUCUACUGGAUCAUUACUGACACUCAGAGGCGAAAGCUAGGGUAGCAAAAGGGAUUAGAUACCCCUGUAGUCCUAGCCGUAAACGAUGGAUACUACAUGUUGCGUUUUUAAUGCAGUAUGGUAGCUAACGCGUUAAGUAUCCCGCCUGGGGAGUACGGUCGCAAGGCUGAAACUCAAAGGAAUUGACGGGGGCCCGCACAAGCGGUGGAGCAUGUGGUUUAAUUCGAUGCAAC
rnacentral:rRNA from 1 species